rnacentral:rRNA from 1 species
UACGGGGGGAGCAAGCGUUGUUCGGAUUUAUUGGGCGUAAAGGGCGCGUAGGCGGUCAGCACAAGUCAGUUGUGAAAUCUCCGGGCUUAACUCGGAAAGGUCAACUGAUACUGUGCGACUAGAGUGCAGAAGGGGCAACUGGAAUUCCCGGUGUAGCAGUGAAAUGCGUAGAUAUCAAGUGGAACGCCAGUGGCGAAGGCGAGUCCCUGGAAAACUCCUGACACUGAGGCACGAAAAGCUAGGGGAGCAAACAGG